UACAGAGGGUGCAAACGUUGCUCGGAAUUAUUGGGCGUAAAGCGCACGUAGGCGGUUCGUCAAGUCGGGUGUGAAAUCCCUCAGCUCAACUGAGGACGUGCAUUCGAAACUGACAAACUUGAGUAUGGAAGAGGGUCGCGGAAUUCCCGGUGUAGAGGUGAAAUUCGUAGAUAUCGGGAGGAACACCAGUGGCGAAGGCGGCGACCUGGGCCAAUACUGACGCUGAGGUGCGAAAGCGUGGGGAGCAAACAGG
rnacentral:rRNA from 1 species